rnacentral:ncRNA from 1 species
GAUGACUUGUCGGAGUGCCAAAAGGGCUGAGAUCGCAUAAGCGGGAUCCGUAGAACCUGAUCAGAUUAGUAUCUGCGAAGGGAACAAGAGAGUGGUUUGC